CAGACGGAUCUGCACCUAAAUGCAGGUGUGAAAGUAGCCUAAGGAGCAAGUGUAUGACAUGUCUAUAAAACUGGUCUUAUAAUAUGAAAUACUGUUCCUCAAAUGAAAUCCAGAAUCGGGAACCAAUCCACAAGUUUGUCACUUAUAGGCCUGUUGCAAAGCAGAACACAUCUAUCCUCCUAAACGGUUAGGCGAUUUGUCCAUCUAGAUGUGUUACCUUUAUUCAUAAAUGGACAGCAUCUAGACUGAAUCUUGACCCAUUACAUUCAAAUGGGUCUGUGUAUAUGAACAUUGUUGUUCACUGAUCAUCUUUACGUUCA